AACUCUAGAUUAAAUUCCUCCCGCGGUUAGCCUGACCUGUGCCCGGGACUCAGUGGGGACAGCCACGCAAGUUAAACUCUAGAUUAAAUUCCUCCCGCGGUUAGCCUGACCCGUGCCCGGGACUCAGUGGAGUCAGCCACACAAGUUAAACUCUAGAUUAAAUUCCUCCCGCGGUUAGCCUGACCCGUGCCCGGGACUCAGUGGGGACAGCCACGCAAGUUAAACUCUAGAUUAAAUUCCUCCCGCGGUUAGCCUGACCCGUGCCCGGGACUCAGUGGGGACAGCCACACAAGUUAAACUCUAGAUUAAAUUCCUCCCGCGGUUAGCCUGACCCGUGCCCGGGACUCAGUGGAGUCAGCCACGCAAGUUAGACUCUAGAUUAAAUUCCUCCCGCGGUUAGCCUGACCCGUGCCCGGGACUCAGUGGAGUCAGCCACACAAGUUAGACUCUAGAUUAAAUUCCUCCCGCGGUUAGCCUGACCCGUGCCCGGGACUCAGUGGGGACAGCCACACAAGUUAGACUCUAGAUUAAAUUCCUCCCGCGGUUAGCCUGACCCGUGCCCGGGACUCAUGGAGUCAGCCACACAAGUUAAACUCUAGAUUAAAUUCCUCCCGCGGUUAGCCUGACCCGUGCCCGGGACUCAGUGGGGACAGCCACGCAAGUUAGACUCUAGAUUAAAUUCCUCCCGCGGUUAGCCUGACCCGUGCCCGGGACUCAGUGGAGUCAGCCACCCCAGACCUCUCUCACUGUUAUCAUUUUUGCACAGGUGGUUUCAGCAGCUUGAUGCCAAAAAAAAAAAAAAAAAAGGAAAAGCAUUCUGAAAAGCC
rnacentral:lncRNA from 10 species